CCUACGGGAGGCAGCAGUGGGGAAUAUUGGACAAUGGGCGCAAGCCUGAUCCAGCCAUGCCGCGUGAGUGAUGAAGGCCCUAGGGUUGUAAAGCUCUUUCAACGGGGAAGAUAAUGACGGUACCGCAAGAAUAAGCCCCGGCUAACUUCGUGCCAGCAGCCGCGGUAAUACGAAGGGGGCUAGCGUUGCUCGGAAUCACUGGGCGUAAAGGGUGCGUAGGCGGGUCUUUAAGUCAGGGGUGAAAUCCUGGAGCUCAACUCCAGAACUGCCUUUGAUACUGAAGCUUGAGUUCGGGAGAGGUGAGUGGAACUGCGAGUGUAGAGGUGAAAUUCGUAGAUAUUCGCAAGAACACCAGUGGCGAAGGCGGCUCACUGGCCCGAUACUGACGCUGAGGCACGAAAGCGUGGGGAGCAAACAGGAUUAGAUACCCGGGUAGUC
rnacentral:rRNA from 1 species